AAGAAAAAGAGGUCGAGGGAAAACAAAGAAUAAAAUACUAACAUCUUUGGCUCCUGGUCCAAAAUUGCCAUUGGAAUUCAAUAAUUAUGGUCAAGCCAUUGGAUCAAAUGCUAAUGUAUUUGCAAGUCAUAUUGGCAAGAUUGUUAAAGUAUGUGAAGAUGCACCAAUUUCUUGCAAGCGUUGGGAAGAUGUUCCACAAGACAAUAAGAAUAAAAUGUAUUCUUAUGUACUGGAGAAAUUUGAAUUUGAUGAAAACGAAGUAAGAAAAAAUUGGAUCUUUAGAAAGAUGAGAAGGGCUUUUGCAAACCAUAGAUAUAAGUUGAAAGCUGACUAUUAUGAUGCAUAUGACAAUGAUGAUGAUUGAAUUAAGUUUGCUCCAACAACAAUCAACCAAGGACAAUGGAGACAAUUUGUCAGUUGGUUGAGCUCACAUGAGUUUCAGGUUUCUUGUGCUCGUAAUAAGUCUAAUCGGUCAAAGCAAACAAUGACUAAAACUACAGGCACUAGAAGUUUUGCUCGAGUUAGAGCUGAACAGGCUGAAAUAUUAGGACACGAAUCGUCUGCAUGGGAAAUGUUCAAGGUGACACA